rnacentral:rRNA from 1 species
UACGUAGGGUGCAAGCGUUAUCCGGAAUUAUUAGGCGUAAAGGGCGCGUAGGCGGUCGUGACGAGUCACUUGUGAAAUCUCCGGGCUUAACUCGGAACGGUCAAGUGAUACUGUCGGACUAGAGUACAGAAGGGGCAACUGGAAUUCUCGGUGUAGCGGUGAAAUGCGUAGAUAUCGAGAGGAACACCUGCGGCGAAGGCGGGUUGCUGGGCUGAUACUGACGCUGAGGCGCGAAAGCCAGGGGAGCGAACGGG